rnacentral:lncRNA from 1 species
GGAAAACCAUCCAUUAAACUGAAUACAGAUAUGUUCGUAUUGAAGAAUGUGAAACAGAUCAUGGCAGAAGUUAGAAUUAGAAUUUUAAAUAUUAACAGCACAGACCAAACAUCAACUGAACAAAAAAACAACAUAUUAGAUGCCAUUGCAAAAAUGGACAAGAUGGAUAAAGACAAAAGAAGAAAGGAAACCAUUGGUGUUUUUGGAAAGACAGGACAAGGAAAAAGCUCCCUGUUAAAUGCAAUCUUGGGAUUAGAUUAUUUACUGCCAUCUGGUUGUUUUGGUGCCUGUACAUCUGUUGUUACUCAGGUGGAAGCGAAUCUGAUCGAUUCCAACUACACAGCAGAGAUUGAACUCAUCUCUAAAGAGGAAUGGGAAAAUGAGAUUACUUCAACUGACAACAGGACCGAAACUGUCAUAGAAAGAAUCACUGCACUGUAUGGAGCUGAUGCAGAUAAGAAAACACUGGAAGAACUAAAGAAAGAUGACAAAUAUGCCGAAAUUGAUAACUUUUUGUCUACCACGAUAAAAACUAUUUCACACACUGAAGUAAGGGCUGAAUAUAUAUGGAGUAGACAUAUGGC